rnacentral:lncRNA from 1 species
UGGAGAAGGGCUCCAGGACCCAAGUGCACAGCAGGCAGCCCUCUGGGGAGCAGAUGGGUAGGAAGACAUGUGGCGGUGGGGCACAGCCCCUCCACAGCAGCAGGUCAUACGCCUGCCUGGGCCACUUCUGCCCAAUCAGAGAAGGGAGCCACCAGACACUGGUGAAGGCCCCCGGAAGUGACGCCUUCUCUUCCCUGGAGCCCCUGCCUGGACCAGGGUCCACUCCUCCACCCACACACACCACGGAGAAGAUUUGGAUAGGGGCAUCCAUCUUUUCCUGGACAUGGGCAACCUGGGACCUGGAGGGGGACAGCAGCAGAAGUUUUUUUCCAGGAGGAAUCUGGCAGGACAUUUGUGUUGCUGGGGAAGAAGCACAGAGGUCUUGUUUAAGAUUGGUGGGGUUUUCACUCCCUGGCUAUCCAAAUUUCUUUUCCCUGGACAUCACACCUGCUGCUGAAAUCCAACAGGAUGCUUGCUUUCCUGCUUUUCUUUCUGUAAUCCCCUAGGGAGUCCUAUCUUGUCAUUCCCCCUUUCGAAGUGGGAACAUGGAUAUUGCCCACAUGAGAGAAAUCUCCUGUUAUGGGUUGGUGUUAUGGGGAAAGGGUUUGGACGGGUUGAGUGGACUGUCAGGUGCGGGGCACAUGUAUGUGCGCACACGUGCACUGGGUUAAGCCUGAGCUUAGGUGCUCGUCUGCUGGGGUCCAGUGGCUUGGAUGGCUACACACACAGACCUCUGUGCCCAGGCCCUCCUUUGCUUGUUCUGUCUCCCUCUUCCAUCUCCUACCGUUCCACAUGUGACAAGAGGAAUAACCAGGCCCAUGUGUCCCUGUCUUAGGAAAGACAGCUGCUGGACCUCCCCCGCAAAUACCUCCCUGCUGGCCCCCCUUUUCCUUUGGCCCUGGCUCUAGCUCCUUUGCUUUCUUCCCAGUCCCAGUCUCCCCACAGUCUCUGUCCUCAGGGGCUUCCUGGCCUGACCUUGAUCCCAUCAUCCCCCUGUCCCCCAGAACUUCCUCAGGCUCUCUCCUGUUCCUCCUCCCCAAGGAUGGGCAUGUCUGCUGAGAAGUGUGGCCUAGAUCCUGGAAUUUUCCCGUCCAGCCAGACGAGAUGUCUCCCAAGAUUAGGAAGGAGGGUGCUGGGAUAGCUGGGAGGAUAGUGGGUGUGUGUGGGAGGGAGAGACAGGAGACAGGGAGGCAGGCAUGACCAGGGAACCAAGAGAAAGGAGGCUGGGAGUGGGCUGGAGAGGCAGAGGGUCCCUUGGGUGAAGGAAGGGGGUGAGAAAGCAAGAGGGGACUGUCGAAUGCGCCUGAGGAUAAGUUACAAUGAGAGGGAGAUACUGUCACUCCACAGAAGGGGGAAUGCUGCCGGUUUCUGGCUAGGUCCCUGUCCUGGGUAACACAAGAAUGAGGAGCGACCUCAGAGAGAAGACAAGUCUUCAUCCUUCGGGCGGAACCGGGUCCUCGCUCACAGAGCGGUCCAGGCCUCAGGCCUAGCCUCUGCCCCUCCCUAGCCUGAGGCUCCCUUCCUGGGCUGGACACCGACCUCCUGGUCCAGCGGCCCUGUGGCCGCCAGCAGCGGGGGGCUCCGGGCCCG